rnacentral:rRNA from 1 species
GACGAACGUUGGCGGCGUGCUUAAUACAUGCAAGUCAACUGAAGCAGUGGUAGCAAUCUCGCUGUGGAGGUGGCGCACGGGUGAGUAACACGUAGGUAAUCUGCCUUCAGGUCUGGCAUAACUCCGGGAAACCGGGGCUAAUAGCAGAUGAUGCAGCGGCUCGACAUCGAGACAGUUGUUAAAGCUAUGGCGCCUGAAGAUGAGCCUGCGUCUGAUUAGCUAGUUGGCGGGGUAACGGCCCACCAAGGCAACGAUCAGUAGCUGGUCUGAGAGCAUGAUCAGCCACACAGGAACUGAGACACGGUCCAGACUCCUACGCGGGGCAGCAGUAAGGAAUAUUGCUCAAUGGGAGAAAUCCUGAAGCAGCAACGACGCGUGAGGGACGAAGGGCUUUUGCUUGUAAACCUCUGUAGUGAGAGAAAAAAAUCCCAAUCUUUGGGACAUGAUGGUAUCUCAAAAGUAAGCCCCGGCUAACUACGUG